AUGUAUUUAAAGUGAUGAAAGGGAAAAAUUUAUAACCAAGAAUACUCUAUCCAGCAAGGCUCUCAUUCAGAUUUGAUGGAGAAAUCAAAAGCUUCACAGAUAAACAAAAGCUAAAAGAAUUCAACACCACCAAAACAGCUUUACAACAAAUUGAAAGAACUUCUCUAGUCAUCAAACCAAAAGAGAAUCAAGAGAGAGAGAGAGAGAGAAAA